GACGAACGCUGGCGGCGUGCUUAACACAUGCAAGUCGAACGGAAAGGCCCUGCUUUUGUGGGGUGCUCGAGUGGCGAACGGGUGAGUAACACGUGAGUAACCUGCCCUUGACUUUGGGAUAACUUCAGGAAACUGGGGCUAAUACCGGAUAGGAGCUCCUGCUGCAUGGUGGGGGUUGGAAAGUUUCGGCGGUUGGGGAUGGACUCGCGGCUUAUCAGCUUGUUGGUGGGGUAGUGGCUUACCAAGGCUUUGACGGGUAGCCGGCCUGAGAGGGUGACCGGCCACAUUGGGACUGAGAUACGGCCCAGACUCCUACGGGAGGCAGCAGUGGGGAAUAUUGCACAAUGGGCGGAAGCCUGAUGCAGCAACGCCGCGUGCGGGAUGACGGCCUUCGGGUUGGAAACCGCUUUCGCCUGUGACGAAGCGUGAGGGACGGUAAUGGGUAAAGAAGCACCGGCUAACUACGU
rnacentral:rRNA from 1 species